rnacentral:rRNA from 1 species
AAAGAUAGAUGCAUGAUGCAUAUAUCAAGGAUGCGAUCACACCAGCACUAAUGCACCGGAUCCCAUAAGAACUCCGCAGUUAAGCGUGCUUGGGCGAGAGUAGUACUAGGAUGGGUGACCUCCCGGGAAGUCCUCGUGUUGCAUCCC